rnacentral:rRNA from 1 species
GACGAACGCUGGCGGCGUGCUUAACACAUGCAAGUCGAACGGGUCUGCCCUGUUUUUUGCGGGGUGGGUCAGUGGCGAACGGGUGAGUAACACGUGAGUAACCUGCCCCUCACUUCUGGAUAACCGCUUGAAAGGGUGGCUAAUACGGGGUGUUCUGGCUGUGCCGCAUGGUGUGGCUGGGAAAGAUUCACUUUUGUGGUGUUUUGGUGGGGGAUGGGCUCGCGGCCUAUCAGCUUGUUGGUGGGGUGAUGGCCUGCCAAGGCUUUGACGGGUAGCCGGCCUGGGCGGGUGGGCGGUCACACUGGGACUGAGAUACGGCCGAGACUCCUGCGGGAGGCAGCAGUGGGGGGUAUUGCACAAUGGGCGGAAGCCUGAUGCAGCGACGUCGCGUGAGGGAUGGAGGCCUUCGGGUUGUGAACCUCUUUCGCCGGUGAAGAAGGUCCUGCUCUUUGUGGUGGGGUUGACGGUAGCCGGGUUAUGAAGCGCCGGCUAACUACGUG